rnacentral:rRNA from 1 species
UACGUAGGGUGCGAGCGUUAAUCGGAAUUACUGGGCGUAAAGCGCGCGCAGGCGGUUUUGCAAGCCGGAUGUGAAAUCCCCGGGCUUAACCUGGGAAUGGCAUUUGGGACUGCAAGGCUGGAGUGCGGCAGAGGAGACUGGAAUUCCUGGUGUAGCAGUGAAAUGCGUAGAUAUCAGGAGGAACACCGAUGGCGAAGGCAGGUCUCUGGGCUGACACUGACGCUCAUGCACGAAAGCGUGGGGAGCAAACAGG